AGAGUUUGAUCCUGGCUCAGAAUGAACGCUGGCGGUAGGCUUAACACAUGCAAGUCGGACGGUAGCAGGAAGAAAGCUUGCUUUCUUUGCUGACGAGUGGCGGACGGGUGAGUAACGCGUGGGAAUCUACCCUAUGGUUGGGGACAACGUAUGGAAACGUACGCUAAUACCGAAUAUGAUCUACGGAUUAAAGGGGGCCUCUUCUUGAAAGCUCUCGCCAUAGGAUGAGCCCGCGUAAGAUUAGCUAGUUGGUGAGGUAAUGGCUCACCAAGGCGACGAUCUUUAGCUGGUUUGAGAGGAUGAUCAGCCACACUGGGACUGAGACACGGCCCAGACUCCUACGGGAGGCAGCAGUGGGGAAUAUUGGACAAUGGACGAAAGUCUGAUCCAGCCAUACCGCGUGUGUGAAGAAGGCCUUCGGGUUGUAAAGCACUUUCAGUUGGGAGGAAGAUUAGGUAUUUAAUACAUGCCUAGUUUGACGUUACCUUCAGAAGAAGCACCGGCUAACUCUGUGCCAGCAGCCGCGGUAAUACGGAGGGGGUUAGCGUUGUUCGGAAUUACUGGGCGUGAAGCGCACGUAGGCGGAUAUUUAAGUUAGAGGUGAAAUCCCAGGGCUCAACCCUGGAACUGCCUUUAAUACUGGGUGUCUUGAGUUCGAGAGAGGUGAGUGGAAUUCC
rnacentral:rRNA from 1 species